UAAAUCAAAACAGGGUAAGUACAUCCCGUUGACCUACAAAGCAAAAGAAGGUCUCACAAGUCACAGCAUAAUUACCUAAUUACCUGCUUAAAUAAGAUCCUUCCUAGAUUUGAAUCCCUCGGUGCGUGAAUCCGACUCGCACUGGCCGGGUUUUUUAUAUUUUCUUAGUUGAUUUUCAGCAGCUUAUUGCUAGUGGCAAAGGUAUAUUAUAAUAUAUAAGAUAUAUAUUAACUGAUAAAAAUAAAAGGAAUCCUUAUCUGGUCAAAAUUUUAAUAGCUGUAAUUUUAAUCAGCUCUACCUAGUUAGGUACUACAAUUUCAUAAAGCUUAACUAGAAUGGUCCUUCCAUAGAGAAAUAAAAAACGUUAAAAAAAUAGUAUAAGUCUUGAUAAUAACAAAAGUCAAAGGUAUAAGUGUUCAUUUUAGUACUAUGUUACAACUCGUUAAGCUAAUGUGCUAGAGAGGUACAAAUUCGACAUUCGUGUAAUCUUAGGAUGGUAGGAAAAACAAAAUGCGAGGGGCCCCCGGUGGAAGGGGGCACUGAGCUUUUAUAGUAUAUUUUUAAUGUUUAAUUUUUUUGUCAUAAAUUAGCAUAUAUUUAAUUAUUUCUAAUUAGUUAUUACCUAUACUUAAUAAAUUAACUAUUAUUAGGUAUAUAUACAUCAUACAUUUAAACUAACUCUUUCUCAGGGCUAGGCCCGCGUGAAUUUACGUUAGAUGAUAUUCGCAAAACCCUUCCUUAGUGCUUAGGUGUAGGAUACUCAAGGAAUAUAUGUCCUCUUCAAGUCUCUAGGCCCACCGGCUGUCUGUCUGUCGAUUAUUAUGUUAACGUUUUAUAUGUAGGCAGCUGGUAGGUAUAUGUAGGUUUUUUAAUUAGGACAGGUAGUUUU